AUGUUGGUAUUAGUGCAGCUCACGCAGUUGGAGUUUUUCUCCAUUCCUCUGGUACAAAACCUAGUGAGCUGUUGUUUUAUCACUGAAUAUUGUUCCUCUUUAACAGUGUGUUUAACAGAGGAUAGAGGGCAAAAUGAACACAGAGAGCUCAAAGAAGAGGCUGCUGGUGCUGAUGGAAGGAACAAAACAUGUCCAGCAGAUCAAUGUGUGGAUUUUGUCCCAUUCGAGUCCCAAAAUGACCUUUCUGAAACUGCUUUGGCUCCACUGUCACUUAGUGAGGCUUUAGUGAUCAGACGGCCCGAUUUCAUCCAGCGCUCACAGGCCAGGGUUCGAGCGCUCGAGAGGAGGUCGCAGGAGAGGCAGAACUCCCACAGCUCACCGCAGACAGUCGAGAGCGGAGGUGUGUGGCACACACUAUCAGCAUCAAGACAUUCAUACACAUUCAGACGCAGUCGAAAUGAACAACAUUUUCAUGCCCUCAGUAUUCAGACAGAAUACUCAAAUCAAAUGAAAUGAGAGCAGGGAUAGUACAGAAUACUGGAGAGAAGAUCAGUGACUGUUAAAAGACAGGAAAUAUCGCCCCCAUCUGAACACUGUUAAAACUGCAUCACUAACAUUGCUUGCUUUAGGUAUUUUAGCAAUAUUAUAAAAUGCAUUACUG
ensembl:lncRNA